rnacentral:rRNA from 1 species
GGCUAACGCUGGCGGCGUGUCUUAGCCAUGCAAGUCGAGCGGACUUAUGGGGUAACUUAUAAGUCAGCGGCGGACGGCGGAGUAACACGUAGCUAACCUACCCUCUGGACGGGGAUAACCUACCGAAAGGUGGGCUAAUACCCGAUGUAGUCAUCCUGUAUAGGGGUGAUGAAAGGUGGGCUUCUGUUUACAAGCUCAUGCUGGAGGAGGGGGCUGCGGCCUAUCAGGUAGUUGGUAGGGUAAUAGCCUACCAAGCCGAUGACGGGUAGCCGGCCUGAGAGGGUGACCGGCCCGAGGGGCACUGAGAUACGGGUCCCACUCCUACGGGAGGCAGCAGGCUAGAAAUUUGGGCAAUGGGGAAACCCUGACCCAGUGACGCCGCGUGCAGGAAGGAGCCCUUCGGGGUGUAAACUGCUGUCGUGUAGGGAGAAGGGUACUAAGGUGAACAAUCUUAGUACUUGACGGUACUACAGGAGGAAGCCCAGGCUAACCUCGUGCCAGCAGCCGACGGUAAAUAGCGUACU